UCGGCCCUGAAUGAAGGCCAUCGAUUUGCUGUAAUCGUUGGUUUCAAGCAGGAGCCCAAAGGAAUGUCUUCCUGUGGUCUGUUGGCUGUUCCAGAGCCUCAGAGGGGAACAGCCAAUUCAUAUGGAAGCAACAAGC
rnacentral:snoRNA from 1 species